rnacentral:rRNA from 1 species
AACUCGCUGUGAAGAUGCAGUGUACCCGCGGCAAGACGGAAAGACCCCGUGAACCUUUACUAUAGCUUGACACUGAACAUUGAGCCUUGAUGUGUAGGAUAGGUGGGAGGCUUUGAAGUGUGGACGCCAGUCUGCAUGGAGCCGACCUUGAAAUACCACCCUUUAAUGUUUGAUGUUCUAACGUGGACCCGUAAUCCGGGUUGCGGACAGUGUCUGGUGGGUAGUUUGACUGGGGCGGUCUCCUCCUAAAGAGUAACGGAGGAGCACGAAGGUUGGCUAAUCCUGGUCGGACAUCAGGAGGUUAGUGCAAUGGCAUAAGCCA